CUUGGUCAUAGAGGAAGCAAAAGUCGUAACAAGGUUUCCGUAGGUGAACCUGCGGAAGGAUCAUUAACACGUGGUUAUCCAUGUUCCACCCUUCGUGCUUUUGGUGCGGUUGCCUCAAACAUUCUAGUGGAAAUUUGUUGGGAUGAACUUGGUUUCCAAGGGGAUUGGCCUUUUUCUUUUUUGGUAACGAAAAAGAAUUAGCCUUUUCCAUCCUUUUAGCAGUUUCCAUUUCGAUUCUUUUGAUUCGAAAACCCCGUAGUUAACUUAUUUCUAACUGAAAACUUAAUUGCUCUUUCAGACUUAACGGUUUGAAACCAAUUAUUUUACGAAACAUUUGACAACUCUUAACAACGGAUAUCUUGGUUCUC
rnacentral:misc_RNA from 1 species